UUUCUUUUUUUUUUUUUUUGAGGUUAGUUCAUGCAGGCUUGGUUAAUAGAAUAUGAAGUGAGAUCUUACGGGGUGGCAGAGAAUGUUUGGUUUAGCCUGGGGGCAUAUGGAGAAUGGGCUAUUUCUUCACAAAGAAUUUUUAAGAAUCUUAGAAUGGUUUGCCACUGUAAUUAUGAACAACUGUAGCUUGCUUAAUUUUUAUUUUCUAUUUUAAAUGCUCAGAUGAUUUUACUUUCAUCUAUAAAAUGUUAAAAGUAUAGUCUAAUUAAAAUAGUAUGUGUCUAAGAAAUACUUUUGGUCCAUUUAGUUUCUUUUUCCUUUUCCUACCUAAUCAAAAGGUGUGUAAACCUAGAAAACAUGCAGAGAGCCCUGGACCUUCUCUUUUUGUCAUUUUUCACUAUUAUUUCAUAUUUUCCCUAGUAUUAUUGUCUUUUUUAAUGUUUAUUAAUUUUGAGAGAGAAAUUGAGAGAGACAGCAUGAGCAGGGGAGGGACAGAGAGAGAGAGACAGAAAGAGAGAGAGAGAGAGAGAGAGAGAGAGAGAGAGAGAGAGAAUUCCAGACAGGCUCCCUGCUGUCAGGGCAGAGCCUGACAUGGGGUUGGAUCCCACAAACCCUGAGGUUAUGACCUGAGCUGAAAUCAAGAGUCAGACGGUUAACUAACUGAGCCACCCAGGCACCCUUCCUCUGUAUCAUUGUUAAGAUGACUUUAUGAGACAACUGUCAAUAUUGUUUAAUGUUAGCUAUUCACCUAUAUGAGUAGGAAAAAAGUUUUUCCUUUAUGGGUGUGUGUGGAUAGACAAACCACUGCUUUGAUAGAAGGAGAUUAUAUUUGCUUGAUAUUAAUAUUAAAACAUUUUUUUCUCCCUUUAAAUAAUUGGCUUCUGGUGGGGUGUCUGGGUGGCUCAGUUGGUUAAGCAUCUGACUUCGGUUCAGAUCAUGAUCUCACAGUUCAUGAGUUUGAGCCCUGCAUCAGGCUCUGUGCUGCUGACAGCUCAGAGCCUGGAACCUCCUUGGAUUCUGUGUCUCCUUCUCUUUCUCUGCCCUCCUCUGCUCAAGCUUUCUCUCUCUCUCUCUCAAAAAUAAAUAAACAUUAAAAAAUUUAUAAAAAUUGGCUUCUGAUAAUUUUGUGACUUAAAGUAUCAAGAACCCAACUUUUAAAGUGGUAUUCUUUAAUAUUUUGUAAAUACUACAUUCCCAACUUGGUAUAUUUUGCUGGGUAAUUGCUAUUAUCUCUGUUUUAGAAUUCACAUAUCCCAUUCUUCCUCCAUUUCCACAGGAUUAUUCAGUAAUUAAUUGGAUAGCCUGGAACAGUCUUUAACAAGUUGGAUAUCUCCAAGAUGCCUUCCCCAGGUCUAAUAUUCUACAAGUCUUUGAUUUUAACUUACACUUCUUCUCAACUACGGCUGAAAGGUAGCACCAGUCUAAUUUUUAGGGUAAUGUGCCCCAUUUCUUACAUUAUCCUAAAUUGAGUGGAAAACUAUUUGUAAAAUAACAACCCCAAAAUAUCUAGCUUUUACUCUUUGGGGAAAGAUAAUUGUAGAAUACUUUUUUCUAUUUGAUAUGUUUUUACUUUGGAAAACCCUAUUGGGAAAGUAGAUUUCCAGACAGCUUGAAACUGACAAAUGGGCAUUUUGACAGGUAUUCCUGGAAGGAGAGCUACAACCACCAAUCAUUUCAGUUUCCUUAUUACAACAACUAUGUUUAGUAGAGACUAAGACAUAUCACAGUUUGACACAAGUAUUUUGUGUUGGGGGGUGGGUGAAUAUAAAACUUUUUUAAUGUAUUGGAAAAAUAGGGCAUUUGCUUUGCUAUUAUGAAGAAUAGAGAAACUAACAAUGUUGGUAUUAAAUACUUUUUUAUGGCUUCAGCGUGACCUGUUAUUGUGAACUUUUGUGUCUUCCAUUCAGUAGGAUGUUCCUAGAGGAGGGUUUAAUUUGUACUGCUCUUUGUCAUUUAAUGGAUUUGUCCUCUGUACAACCUGUGGCUUUAGAACAGAAAACUUCAAAGUAAAUGUUAGCAGAAACAAAUUUUGUGGGAUUCUUUUUUUUUUUUUUUGCAUAAAAUACCACUGGUAAGUAGUAUUCUCCAGACCUCAGUGGAAGUAGUCUAUUUCUAGAAAAUUAAUUUGUGAACAAGAUAGACCUGAACUCUCUUGGUUCUAUUUACAUCUCAUUCUCUUUCCAUUUUAUAAGCUUCUCAUUAGCAUGAAUGCAUUUUAAAUAAUAUUCUUUAGGGCUCCUUAACUGUAGAAGCACAGUGUUGGUUUUUGAGUGGAAUACAAGAAGCAAUCCUGCAGUCUCUUGUUCUUCACUUCACACCAAAUGUCAGCAGCUGCCACAUUGUUUUUCUCCACCACCGUCAUCACUGUCGCUGCUGCCUUCUUCAUCAAAAAUAAGAGAUAUUUGACUGAUUUGUAGGAUUUGUGAAAAAUAGAAAUCCUAGAAUCUUACAAAUGUGACUUGGUGUUUAAAGUUAGAGGAAAUGUUAUGAAUAGCUACAGCUUAAGACUAAUUCCAUGGGACGCCUGGGUGGCUCAGUCGGUCAGGCAUCCGACUUCAGCUCAGGUCAUGAUCUCCUGGUUCAUGAGUUUAAGCCCCAGGUUGGCUCUGUGCUGACAGCUCCGGAGCCUGGAGCCUGCUUCGGAUUCUGUGUCUCCUUCUCUCUGUCCCUCCCCCGCUCAUUCCCAUUCUCUCUCUCUCAAAAAUAAAUAAACAUUAAAAAAAAGACUAAUUCCUUUUGAUAGUAGUGAUUGAGUGAUUUUGCCUAUUUCAGAGAAUCAAGUUUAGAUGUGUAUGUGAAUGACCCUAUGGAGUCUUAUUUCAUUUGUUUGAGCCUGGAUCAAAAUCAGUUUCAUUUAGCUUUUAACUUGGACAAGGGUCUUAUGGUCGGUAACACGUUCUUUUUUUUUCUUAAGCUUCUUUUUUAAACACUGAGACAAAUCAUCGAAGAGCAUUAAUUUCUCUGAUAAAACUUUUCUCCAAGUGUAGACAUAUAUCUAAAACAAAAAUACUAUUGCCUUAUAGAAGACUUUUGUAAUUUCUUUAACUCCCUGUAUAAUGAUCACAUUGUUUUAUGAAGAAAUUUGUUUCUCCAGUUUUUGCUUUUUUUUUUUUUUUUGCUGCCAUCCUAUUUCUCCCUAUUUCAUCCCCAGUCAUUUCAACAUCUCAUACUUUUAUCCUACUUUAUCUAGUUGAAGCUUUACCAAGCCGAGAAAAUACAAUCUUUAUGACUUACAGUCAUAGACUUAAGAGAGAAGAGGUCUUUAAUAGAAUUCCUACUGAUCUUGGCAAGUUUCUUAAUUUUAUGCUUUUGCCUAGAACCUUGUUGAUUUGAACAGAUUGUCUCUUGACCUCCCAUCUACCUACUGCUAGCUUUUCUGAUGAAGUAUCUUUUAUACUCCAGCAUUGUACAAAUACUAUGCUGAGUAUUGUUAUGGAUUAAAAAAAAUGAGUAAGUCAUGGUUUGUUUUACUGUAGCAGGGAAACGACUUAGAAGAUAAAUAAUCUUAUAUAUUUUAAUAGAAAAUUAUGGAGGCUUAAAUAAGUGGAGGAGGCAUGGGAUAGUAUGUCCUGAGUGUGAAAUGAGUCUGGAAUUUGUGACUUUGAAGUCUAAAUUAGAACAGUGGCAUUAUGUUGUGGAAGGGCUACACUAAAAUUUUAUACCAGGCUAAAAUGGGAUGGAGAAAGGAAGAUGCCAUGUACCAGGUGUCUGUGUAGCCUUGUGAAUUUGUCUUGUUUUAGUUUUAUCAUCUAGGUGAGAGGAGCAUAAUUACCUUUACAAAGCCACUUAGAGUUGAGAAUCUUUGAGUAUUUUCCAUUAAGAAUCCGAGGUCCCUUGUUGUAAAUACAGCACCAUCACUGUGGUGCAAGAUGGUAGGUUGCCUUGCAUGUCAAGUCUGUUCCUGCCUCUCAUUCUCAUGCCCUAAGGAUCCUUUGUUGGAAGACUAAGGCAACUGUCAGGCUAUUUCUGUGUUCUCUAAUAGGUGCAGUGUCUCCGUUUAGUUUGGAACUGAUCCAGAUGUGUCAUCCUUAGGGUUCUUAAAUAUUAUUGCCUUGCCUUGUUUUUUCCACAUUCCAUUGCCUUGCCUUGUUUUUAUGGCCAACUUGGAAAGUUGAGUGUUCGAACCCAGUCAGAUGUCAUUAUUUGAUAUUAGCAUACACACCUAUUCUUCUUUUUACCCAGCUAUGAUUAUGACUUGUCUUCUUCCUAAAAAAAACUCUCUAUUUUAAAAUAUAAGUCUGUACCAGAAACAUCUAAUCAUAAUUUUACAGUGAAAACACAACUUGAAAUUUAAAAGAGCUUGAGAAUUUUUUUAGUAUAGAAGAUUUAAUUUGUGGAUGCUUGUAUCUUUUUAUUUAUUUAUUUUUCAUUUCAAUGUAACUUUUUUGUAUAUUUUUAAAUUCAUAUUAAAUACAUUAGACAUUCAGCAUUUUAUUGUAUAAAAUCAUUUCUGUGUUGAAGCAGAUCAAGAUUCUGAAAAUAUAGCUAAUUGCUAUGUUAAAAGCAUUGUAUAACUAGGAUGUUAACUAGGCUGAAUAUGGUGAUCAUUUUGUAAUAUAUACAAAUAUUGAAUCAUAAUGUUGUACACCUGAAACUAAUAUAAUGUUAUAUGUCAACUAUACCUCAAUAAAAAAAAAAAAAAAAAAGUAGGAGCUGUGCCUGGAUGGCUCAGUUGGUUGAAUGACUCUUGAUUUUGGCUCAGGUCAUGAUCUCAUGGUUUGCAUAGAGCCUUGCAUAGGGUUCUGUGCUGACAGCGUGGAGCCUGCUUGGGAUUCUGUUUCCCUUUCUCUCUGCCCCUUUCCUGCUGGUGCUUGCUCUCUCAAAAUAAAUAAACAUUUAAAAAAAGGAUAUCUGGAAAUAGUAAAAAAAAAUGGGGGCAUGAUAUAACUUUAUUCGUCAAGAAGUAAUCCUUUUUUUUUAAAUUUUUUUUUUAAUGUUUAUUUAUUUUUGAGACAGAGAGAGACAGAGCAUGAACGAGGGAGGGUCAGAGAGAGAGGGAGACACAGAAUCUGAAGCAGGCUCCAGGCUCUGAGCUGUCAGCACAGAGCCCGACGCGGGGCUCGAACUCACCGACUGUGAGAUCAUGACCUGAGCCGAAGUCGGCCGCUUAACCGACUGAGCCACCCAGGCGCCCCCAUCAAGAAGUAAUUCUGCUUCCCAAUUAAAUGAACAGAUUUUCCAUUUUUAGUGUGGUUUUUUUUUUUUGUCUUUUUUUUUUUUUUCAGUCUUUACACCCAGCACAGGGCUUGAAUUUACAACCCUGACAUCAAGAGUUGCAUACUCUACCAACUGAGCCAGCCAGGCACCCCUCUACAGAUGUUCUUUUUUAAACUUAAUCAGUUAAUCAAAACAUACUUUUGGGGAUACUUUUGGUGUAUCAUAGCACUCUGUUGGUUCCUGUGUGAAAUCCAUUGAAAAUGUAGGGUUAUAUAGUACCAAGCCACAAAACAUGAAACCAAAGCUAAUUUUGAUAAUCUGAUUUAUGUGAGAAGUAUACUGUAUACUAGGUAUUAAGAAGAAAAACAAUUACUUCCCCCACAUCUUUCUAUUAAAAUUUUUUUAAACCUAUGGAAAAGUUGAAUGAAUGGUACAUACAGUAAACACCCAUAUAUGCUUCAUCUAAAUUCCUCAGUGUCAACACUGUAUCAUAUUUGAAUUAUGUUUUUUUCUCCCUCCCCCCAUAUGUGUGUGUUGUGCAUCUGUAUAUAGAUAUACAUACAUGUAUGCUUCUUUUUUUCCCUUAAUCAUUUCAUUGUAAGCUGUAGAUAUCAGGGUGCUUAAUCCCUGACUACAUUACCUCCGAAUUACAGGACAUUCUCCUACAUAACCACUGUACCACUUUUAUAAUAAAACAUUUUUAAUAGUGAUUUUGUACUAUCACCAACUAUAUAAGCCAUUUUCAAAUUUCUCCAGUUGUACUAAAAUUGCCUUUCAUGGGUUUUGUUCAUUUGCAUGAGCUAGGAUCUAACAAGGCAGAUGCAUUGUAUAUGCUUAUCCUGUCUUUUCUGGACAGGCCUCCUCUGAUCUAUACCUAUGCUGUCCAAUAUGAUAGCCACUAGCUGUAUGUGACUAAAUAUAAGUAGAUUAAAAUGAACAAAAUUAAAAACUUAGUUCCUUAGUCACACUAGCUCCGCUUCAAGUGCUCGGUAGUCAUAUGUGGUUAGUGGCCACUCUGUUGGACAUCACAAAUUCAGACCAUUUCUAUCAUCAGAGAAAGUUCUAUUGGACAGAUCUAGGACAUGUCCCACCCCCUUUUGUCUUUCAUGAAAUUUGAUUUAUUGUUUUGAAGCAUUCAGGCUGGUUGUCUUGUUGAAUUUUCCACAUUAUGAGUUUGACUUGAUUGCUCCUUAGUGAUUUGAUUCCGGUUGUGGCAGAUAAUUUCUUUCAAAGAAAGCUGCACUAAUAUAUUUAGCCCAUCUCACCUGAGAGGUGGAGCCUUUGUUCCCUCCCUGUGGGAGGGCAUGAUGGGCAAGGACUUGUGCCAGCUGAUCAUUGCAGUCCGGUGGAAGUAUAUGCCAUAUGCCUUAAGACUUCCUCACUCACUCCUGGAAUGCUUACCUUUGGGACCCAACUACCACCUUGUGAGGAAGCCUAGGUCUUAUGAAGAUGUUACACAGUACCAGUUCAGGUCUCAGCUGACAACCUGAUGUGCCAGUGAAUGGGCCUUCAGAUGAUUCAGUUCUUCUAGUUGACGUCUUAGAUGUACUACAGUAGAGACAUGCAGUCCCAGCUGGGGUCUGUCUGAAUUCCUGAUGCACAGAAACAGAGAAAGCUCAUAGAUUAUUGUUAUUUUUUCAAGUUGCUAAGUUUUGAGGAAUUUUCACAGUAAUUCUGAGCUGUGAAAUGAGCAGUAAAUAGCUCAUACACAGAUUAAACAAUUUAGCAAGGGUGCUACAUUAGUGAUGGUGUGAAUUUCCUGUUGCAUCACAUCAGGAGGAAUGUGACGUCAGUGUGACUUAACUGGUGAUGUUUGAUCACGAUCACUUGGUUAAGGUGGUAUCCAUCAUCUCUCUCCAUCAUAAAUACCUUUUUCCUUUUGCAAUUAAUAAGUAACAUGAGGGAAGUGUAACUUUGCAAAUAAUAUAAGCUUCCAUCAAGUUCUGUGUCAACAUUUCACUCUAUGCUGUUGUUUUGAGUGGAUUUAAAAAUGGUCUUAGAAAUCUUAGAAAUCAUUUUACUCUUGUCAUUUUGCACCCUGAUUUAAUAAAUAUUGUUAGGUUUCCAUUGGAGAUACUGCCUUGAAACUAGGGACAUAGAAAUACAAGAGAUUUGAUUUUAUAGCCUUGGAGCUUAUGGAUGAAAACUAACAUGACUGGAAUUCACAAGGGUUGACCGAGUGGUACAUUUGUGUUCCAAGAUGAUUCAACUAAGAUAUUUUAUUUUCCAAGAGAGUAAAAUGAUGUCAUUAUGGUAACUGUAUACUGGAAUUUAAGACUGGUCAUUGGUGCUGCCUGAAUUAUACUUUUAUCAGGCAGGUUUGAAAUUAAAAACAGAUUUUUUUUAAGUGCACUUUUAUAUUAGAAGUUCUAUGAGUUUUGAUGUAUCUUUUUCUAAAUAUAGAAAUGUAUGUGUUUUAAAAUACAAAUCUAUCAUGGCCCAAAUUUCUUAUUAUUAAAUACUUAGUGAAUAGUAAUGUUUAUGAAUUAAAGACUGUAAGGAUACUGUUGUGUGAUAUUUAUUUAUUUAUUUAAAGUUUAUUUAUUUAUCUUGAGAGAGAGAGAGACAGCAUGAGCAGGGGAGGGGCAGAGAGAGAGAAUCUCAAGCAGGCUCCACACUGUUAGUGCAGAGACCAAUGCGGGGCUUGAACUCAAAUCAUGAGAUCAUGACCCACGCCGAAAUCAAGAGUUGGACACUCAACUGACUACACCACCCGGCACCCCCAUUGAAUAAUAUUUUAAAGCUAUGGGGUACAGUGCUUUAAGGAACCUUGGUAGCAUCAAACAUAGGGCCCAAAUAGUUGUUGAGGGAGUUCUAUACAGAUGAACCAUGCUUCACACCCUCUGUUACUUGAUUAUGAAUAGAAUACAUAAUAAAUGAUCUCUGUGGGGAUUUAAAAGUUCUGUCAAUAAGAACCAUCAUCUUCUUAUAGUUGUUUGUUUAUUUUGUUCUGGGAUAUAAGAAUGAUAGAAGCACUUUUUGUUUGAUUUGGUUUGAAAAUGGUAAAUUUACAGAUUUAUCUGUUCUGAAUUCUAUUUACAGUUCUUGGUAAGACAUACAAUACAAAUAAGAAGGAACACUAUAAAAUCCUGGAAUCAUAACUGGGUUUCUGAUAGAUUAGUAAUGUGAAAAAAGUACUAAAUGUGCCACAUUAUGUAUUGUAUAAUCCAAACAGUUGUACAUGUGGUUCUUGAAAUGGUGUUAAACUUUCCCCAAAGAAUGACUUCAUCCCUAUCUGUGUUAUGAAAACACAGUAAAAAUUUUAAAACUUUUUCAGCAAGUUCCUAUUGUGAAUUUGGGAUGUUGGGAUUUCCUCAUUCUAAAAACACUCCUUUAAGCCCUGCAAUAAGGAUUGAUUUCUGCUAUUUAUUGCUUUAAUCAUUUUAGUGUAUCAUAAUGGGUCUACUUAGAGUACUUCAUUGUUGUCUCUUUUUGGUGAAACUCUGUUGUUUAGACAACUCGGCUAAUGUUAUUAAGUUCAUGAUAUUUAAUUCCUCUGUGGACUAUACAGUUUCAUUUGUUACUUGCUCUCAGACUGAAUAUUUAGCAACAUUUUCUUCCAUGUAACUUUGGUUACAGGAAAAAUUCCAGGACAGAGUGAAUGGAUCAAUCAACUACUUAGAGAAGAGUAUCAGAGUACAACUCUUGCUAAGUAAAAUGGUGUACCUUUAGACAGAGGGGAAAUGUGAUUGGAGCUCCUUCGGAAUCAUAUAAAAUAUGUGAGUAAUGGUAGUUAGCUGGGGAAAGAGCAAUCAAAAUAUAAAUGAGUUCUGGAAAGUGGAAAAUGCUAAGGCAUGUGAUGAUAGGAAGGCCUCACUCUGGGAUGGUGAGAUAAAUGUGCAAGAAUACGGGAUUAUUUAAGAAAUGGAGCAAAACUGAGGAGUGAAGAGUCAAUGGAGGGAUAGAAAGAGAUCGUUAGGGUAGGUGUGAAUGUUGGCAGACAGGAAAGGAGGAGAGGAGAGAGUAAGCCUGUUAAAUUUUGAAGCAGAGCUGUGAGCUUGGGUGCUUAAGAAACAGAAACUAGUUUAAGGAUUUGCUGAGUGGGAAACCUAUAGAAUGAGACAUCACUGCUUCAGGUGGUUGCAAGAUGAAUACUUUCAAGUGUCUGGAGAAAGGGCUGGUUUUCCACAAUCUCAAGACAGAAAGCAUUGGCUGACAAACUUUGAAAGGCUCCAAAAGUGUGCCUACAUGUGAGUCAUGCCCUCUACAUGGACCUUUGGUAAAUGUCAUCCAAAUACAACUAUUCGAAUGGAGUCUGAUGCAGGCCUCGUUUCUAAGAAAGGUGAGAUCGUGGCCUGAGCCGAUACCAAGAGUUGGACACUUAACUAACUGACUGAGUCACCCAGGUGCCCCACUCUCCUGACAUCUGUAGCCAGCAGGAUCAAGCACACUUGACCUCAGACAUACCAUUUCUGGGUACGUGCACAUCAGGCCAGUGAGGUAUUUUGGUGGAGAGGGUAGUAAGGGUGAGGAACUGUGGUCUCAAGGACUUAGGCGUUAGAGGGAGAGCACUCCUUUCCUUCAGAGGGAAAGAGGGAGAAGAGAGUAAGUGGCAGGAAUUCCCAGGGAGCCUAAUGAUUGCCCUGGCCUCUUCACAUCACAACAUCACAUUACACGUUGCUGAGCCAGUCUAUAUCCCUGUCUCUAACACAUGGGGAAAAAGUAAAGCUAAUAUUGUUGCUCAUAGAGAUUUUUUUUUUGGGGGGUGCGGUUCUUUCAUGUAUUUUGUUUACAUUUUUAGCUAAAUCUUAUGGAUAGUUUGCUUGAAAUACAUGGAGUUGGGUGUUCAGGGACAAGAGUUAUCAUAUCCAGUUACGGAAAACGUUUGAGAGUUAUUUGGAUGUCUUUAUCUGUGUUAGCAUACAUGACUGUUACUCUGUUCACCCAGGAUCUAAAGCUGAAUACCUAUUCACUUAUUCCCCAUUUACUAUUCAGCCAUGUCAACUACUAUAUCCUCAGAUGAGCUACUAAAUAAAACAGGAAUAUCUUAUUAUGUGACUCAUCCUUCUGUUUUUUCCCCUGUAUUUCAGAUUUAUAAUGGUGUGGUGUGAAGAGAUCCAGGAUUUCCAUUUCUGCUUUCCCUUUCCUGCCAAGCUCAUGACCCCUGCCAAUUCCAUCCUUUCCUUCCAUUUGCCCGUUUUGGUUUGGGUUCUGGACUCUUUGGGAGUUUAUAGAACAGGAGCCAUUUACACUCCCCCCCCCCCCCGCCCCCAAAUGGGACAAGUGUCUUAAUUGAGGUCAGGCCAACACCAACUGUGACAGAAUCUUCCCCUCAUCCGCCUGGCACAGGGGAAGAAUUCAUACACGAGAAGAACGGCAUGAAACUGUGCCUCCUAACAGUGGCCAUUGGGAUAAAGCUAAUGCCCAGUUGGAGGCACAACACAGUGACUUCUUUUGCCAGGCUUGAUUGUUCUGCUUGGUUCCAAGCCAGAUGGCAACCUGGUGGGUGACCCAUUGGCUCUCGCCUUUCCCCAACCCACUCAUGUCUAAGAUAAAAUGUCCAGCUGUCCCUUUGCAGGACUUACCCUGUGGAAACAGUAAUUGCCCUCACUGUUACUUGAUAUUUACAUAAUUUUGUUUAAAUUUGUAACUAUAGUACUGUCAAUAUGACUUUAUUAGUAGUGUGAAAGCUUCAAAUUGCUUGCCAGAAUUCAAGAGUGAAAUCCAUUUAACACGAGGCUGUUUAAAGUAUUAAAAGAACUUCGGGAUUUAGCGUAGGAGAGGAAGUGUGAAGAUGUGAAUUAUUGAACUAGUGUAGUUCAUGUGCUAUAAAAAGUUAUUUUGAUCACUAGAAAUACUUGUACCGAGGUUUGCAGUCGUUUUUAAUACCUUUUAUCCUUCAGUCACUCUCUGACAUAUGUAAGUCAGAAAUGAACCUCCCAGGUUUCCCUCACGUGGACAUAUAUCUGCUGCCUCUGAAGGUACUUAGGCUUUUGUGCCUGGAUUAUUGUAUAAUAUUCAGGAUGCCUUAUUUGAACAAUGAUAAUAGCUGUUAUCUAUUGAUAAUAAUGUAUGGCUGUUAUGAUUUGUUUUUAAGUCUGAAAUGUAGUUGGAGGUAUAUGAAGAAAUCAAGAGAGAAUUCUGAAAAACAAAGUCCUGAUCGUUUUGCAGAACUUCAUCUGCAUAGGUCUUCCAUUUUAACACUAGCUUUGUUUUCUGCGAUGAUGAUGCAUUACUAAUAGCAUUUUUACAGUUACAUUUUAUUUAAUUAAAAAAUCUUCUCGAAAGUAACAGAGAAAGCCCAGGAACUUUAUUGAUGAUAUUUCUGGACACACUUUUGUUUUUAAACAAAGCUGAAUUACUUUGGUAGGUUUGGGGAGAGAACACUUAUUCCUGCUAGCCAACACUGGGGUCUCUUAUUUACCACUGGAUUUGCAGCUGUAGGAAAUAUCCUGAUUUCUUAAGGAUCCAGUUACAGCCUGAAGCACAUUUCUGUAAGAUACAGUGCUAUAAAUAAAUGGCCGUUAUCCUACAAAUGCUUUUGCUGCCAUAAUGUCACUGAAAUGCUACUAAUAUUGCCAGUGUCAUUAUAAAAGUAAUGAUUGCCUUGCCUUCCUAUGGGAUUUUAUGAAACGAAAUAAGAUAGUAGAUUCAAAAGUAUUUUUAAAGAUUAUAGGUGAUCAGGGGUGCCUUUGUGGCUCAGUCCAUUAAGUGUCCGACUCUUGAUCUUGGCUCAGGUCAUGAUCUCACGGUUCGUGAGUUCGAGCCCCAGGUUGGGCUCUGGGCUGAUAGCGCGAAGCCUACUUGGGCUUCUCUCUCUCUGCCCCUCUUCUCCCUCCCUCCCUCUCUCUCUUACUCUCUGUCUCUCUCUCUCUCUGUCUCUCUCUCUCUCUCUCUCUAAAUAAACAGAAAACGAAAAGACUGUAGUUGAUCAAUAAAUGUAAAGAGACAUACUACAAUUUAACUUUUGUACUAUUUUAUCACAGCUAACAUCACUAUUACCAUCUUCACUAUUGAAGUAUAAUUUCUCAGGUCUAAUAUCCUCUAUUUACUGACUAAUUUACCAGGAAAGGGAAGGCACAUCAUGCCAAUUGGUAGUCUAGAAUUUAUAAUUGGAGAUUUUUUUUUUUUUAAUUUUCUUCGGGAAUCUGAGGCCUCAAUGUAAUAAUAAUUUUGACUUUGAGCCCCUAAAUUUCUUUACCCCCCUAAGUUUUAUUGAGGUAUAAUUGAUAAGUAAACAUUGUAUGUAUUUAAAGUGUACAAUGUGAUGGUUUGAUAUACGUAUACCUUGUGAAAUGAUUACUACAAUGAAGUUAAUUAACACAUCCAUCACCUCACAUAGUCAACUUUUUUUUUCUUUUUUUUUGGUGUGGUGAGAACACUUAAAAUCUACUCUCAGCAAAUUUCAACAAUACAAAACAGUAUUAUUAACUCUAGUCUUCAUGCUGUACAUUGGAUCCCCAGAAUUUAUUCAUCUUAUAGCUGGAAGCUUAUAUCUUUUGACUAGCAUCUCCCCUCUACCUUCUAUCCCCCAAGCCCCUGGCAACCACCAUUCUACUUGCUGAUCUGUGAGUUUGUCUUUUUUUAGAUUUCACGUAUAAGUGAGAUUAUACAAUAUUUGUCUUGCUCUGACUUAUUUCGCUUAGCAUAAUGUCCUCUAAGUUCAUUCAUGUUGUCUUAAAUGGCAAGAUUUCCUUCUUUCCAUUGGCUGAGUAAUAUUCCUAUGUGUAUAUAUAUAUCACAUUUUUUCCUUAUGCAUUCAUCCCUUGAUGGACACUUAGCUUGUUUCUAUAUCUUGGCUAUUGGGAAUAAUGCUACAGUGAAAAAGGGGGUGUAUCUCUUUGAGGUACUGCUUUUAUUUCCUUUGUAUAUACACCCAGAAGAGAUUGUUUCCGGAAUGUGAUUGCUAGAUUAUAUGGUAGUUCCAUUUUUAUUUUUUGAGCAAUCUCUACUGUUUUCCAUAAUGGCUCUACCAGUUUGCAUUCCCACCAACAGUGAAUAAGAGCUCUCUUUUCUCUGCACAUUUGCCAACACUUGUUAUCUCUUGUUGAUGAUAGCCAUCCUAACAGGUGUGAGGUGAUACCACGUUGUGGUUUUGAUUUGCAUUUCCUUGAUGAUGAAUGAUGUUAAGCAUCUUUUGUGUAUUUGUUUGCCAUUUAUGUGUCCUUGUGGGCAAAAUAUCUAUUCAGGUCCCUUGCUCAUUUUAAAAAUCUGAUUAUUUUUUGCUAUUGAGUUGCGUGUGUUCUGUAUAUGUUUUGAACAUUAACCUCUCAUCAGAUAUAUGGUUUGCAAAGAUACAUUCCUUUUCAUUUCAUUGCUGAGAGUAUAUGACUUCUCCUUAAAGGCUGUACCCAGUCCUGAGGGGCCAGCUCUGACCUUUGGAGAAUUUUAAGAACCCCGACUCAUUAGCUUCUUAUUUGAUAUCAAAUAAUGUUACUGUUGGUUCUUUGUGUUAACUUUGUGCAUCAGCCUGAUAACUGGGUUUCCGUCUUGCUUGUAUGGUGACUACCCCAGGCCUAGUCACAGAUUUCCUAUAUUGACUACUUGUCUUGGCCUUAAAAACCUGCCCAGAAUCUCUGAAUUCUCUUUGGUUUCUUAACUUGAGCUGACCACCCCCACCCACCCCAACCCUCCCAUACCCACACACCCUCCAGAUUUAAGUCUUGCUUGAGUCCCAGUUUCUUCACUAGCAGUCCAGCUAACAUGUUAUCUGAACUAUGGUGUAAAUGGAAUUUGGUAGGACUGGUACUAAGGAGAAGGGGGGAUGUCCAGGUGUACAGAGGAGAGGGGGAAAUUGACAUGAACAGAGAAGAAAAGUACGAAAGGACCAGUACAUGUCUUCAUUCAUAACGUUGUGAACUUUGUAAAGGAAAGAAAUCUUACCCGUUGUUUACUGCUCUGUCUCUGUAUAAGCCCAGCAUUUAACCUAUCCAGUAAAUAUUUGCUGAAUGAUUGUUUGGGGAAUACACUGAAUUGACUGGUUUGCCUGGAGGGCACUUCAGUGUGAACUUUUAGGGACGGGGAUCGACUUCAGCCUUGUUUACUGCUAGAGCUGUACAUAUUUUUGUUGAAUGAAUAAGUAUUGGGAUCACUGGAAUUGACACUAGCAUUCUGAAAUCGAUAAUGCAGAAUCUCAAAUGUCAUGCCAAGGAUUUGGGUCUCAUGAUAAGAAAGGAAGCAGAGGUGUGGAUCUUAUUAUCUCCAUCUGCUGCCUAAUGUAAUAAGAAUUUUGUUCUUUAAGUAUACUCUUAUUUACACUAAAGCAUUCAGAAAGAGAAUUCUUUUGAUUCUGAGGAAAAGAAGGUCUAUUUUUAUAUAAGAUCUUCCUUUUUGAGUUAAUUUAAGUCCAAUAUAUAAAUAGGUAGAUAUGCUUCUAAAAUAUGCUUUUAAAAAUUUGCUUUUUGGCUAGUCAACACUUUUAUACACACCAAUUCCAGAAAUAUAUUUCUUUUUAAUAUCAUGUGAAUAACAGCUCUGCUUUCAAGUACUCAACUAGGAGAUGAAAGGCAUCCACUGUUUUCAUUCUUGCUGGUCUAUUUUGGCAUUCAAUGGUGUUAAGCAAGUAUUCACUGCUUUAGGCUCCUUGAAUCUGGGCUCUGAAGUGAGUGCUUCUAUGUGUCAGACUCACAUCUUCAUCCACCUUUAUCUCUGCACUCUGGUGUGGGCCAUUUUAAGCCGUAAGGAUGUAUAGUUUCCAAAUACUAUACUACUGUGGGAAAGUGAAACCUAUCCAGAGGACAAAUUGAAUGAUUCUAUUAAAGAGGACAGGUUAUCUUGAUAGAUGUUACACUUAAAGGAAUUUCUUCUCAAUGUUUUACCUUCAGAGAGUGCUUGUACUGCUUAUGGGAUCAUAUCGUCCCUGAUUGGGAUAAACAUCAGCUUCAUGUGUAACUUUGAGAAUUUUUUUCUCUUUUUCUUUUCUUUUUUUUUUUUUUUUUUUUUGGGUGCAUGUUUGUCCACCAUAGGAUAGAGCAUAGAGCUAGGCUUGCUAAUCAAGAGGAAUUGCUUCCGCCAGGUAUGACUUAAAACCGGGGCUGGAAUUAGGGCAGGGCCAUGGCAAGAGCACACCGAACACCAGAAUGACAGGUGUGUCCUCUACAGGGUACGAGAUCACUGUCACUGUUGGCUCCCUGCUCUCUCUCUAUCUUCAUCCAAGCACCCGGCAGGUUCAGAAAGAUAGAGUCCAAUUCUCCAGGCAGUCGUCCUCAGCAGGAGGGAACCGAGGAACGUUAUCAUCUGAAAUCAUGGACUUAGGGGGCAAAAGCCUGGAAGCUUGAGGUUUUCGAAAUGUAAAUAUUCUGUGGCAAGUGAUUAAUUUUUCUUAGAUGAAUUACUGUAGCCACUCUAGAUUUUGUUUACUGUGGGAGCUGAUUCUUUUUAGGCAUACUGAUGUAUAAUAGCACAAGUAAAAUCUCCCAACUAAUGUUGGAAAACUUAGAAAAUAGAAAAUAAUCAUCUAUAAUUUUAAGAUACAAAAUUGUUAAUAUUUUGUAUUUGAUUUUAAUGAUGAACACAAUUAUUGCUCUGCCUUGUUUUGAGGAGGAUAAUUUAUUUUUCCACCAAUACUAUCAUAAUUGUUGUCAUCCUCCUCCUCAGAUAUUUACUAAUUCCUGGCUAAUACACAAGGAAAGUUCCAGGAAGAGUGGAGAAGAUAAAUAAAUGGAAGAUGUGGCUUCUUUUUUUUUUUUUUUAAGAAGAUUAUUUUCUAUUUAGGACUGAACAUAUGUCCUGGGAAAAUAAAAUAUAUGAUUUAUUCAUAACAUCCAUGAUUAUUAAGCUCCUUUAUGUGCUAGUCACUGUCCUCAGUGUGUGAGAAAUCAUGUUGAAUAAAAUGUCGUUUCUACGUUCAACUUAAUGUCCAGGGGAGAUAAUAGACAAGCAAAUCGGAAUUUCAGUAAAUUGGAGUGUGUGAAUUGUUAGUGAAGUGCCCCAGAGGGAGUGCUUGCUAUAGGAAGACAGUGCAUUGAAAGAGGUAUUGAAUAACGUACUGGACAGUUUGGAUGCCAGAAUAAAAACAUUCUUGUAAGUACUUGCUUCUUACGUUGCUCCUCAGUGAGAGUCUAAGGCAUAACUCUAAGUAGUCAAGUAAUAAAAACAUUUUGGUAACAAUGUGAAAGUAAUAUAGUUCAGGGAUGGAUCUUGUGAAAUUUGGUUAAAUGGGCCUUAAAUUCUUUCUAGUACCAAUUGUCUUAAUAUUUGCUUUUGUCAGGAGUUUAACAUCAACAUUUGACAAGUGCACAAAGUGCUCAGGUUCUGUGGUGUAGGUUGAAAAGGAGACCUUAUAUUUUAUAUUCUAGGUUGGCAGGUGUCAAGGUUAGUAUUCCAUUAUGAAAUUUAAGAACUGAUCUGCAUUCUUUUAUUUAGGCAAUGCAUGUUUCCACCUCUGCAAGGAGGGAAUUUGAUGAAAGAGAAAAAGCUUACAUCCAUUAUACCUUGGAUAUUUUGUCUCUAUUUGCCAUGAAACUUGUAGAAUAGAAUUUUUACAGCCAGUUUUUCUAUUUUACACCAACUUGGUAUAUUUUAUUUCCUUUAUGCCAGAUGAAAGAAAUGAGAACUUACUUUUUUAUACUUUGAGCUGUUCAGUUCCAGAGGGAAAAAUACCAAGAGAGCUAUGAGAAGUUUUCUCCCUAGAGAUCUUUAAGAAAAGGCGUUCAUACACUUAACUGUCUGAAGUUGUUUGUGUAGAGUUUUGUGUGUCCUAGUUCAAAAAGCACGGUGUUUAAAAACCCAGACUUAGAAAAUUGGUAUCAUUAAGGAUGAUUCUUAUCUAAUCAUUUUAGUUUUCUUACUAGGUACAUUUAUUUGAUAAUAAAUACAAUUGGUGAGUAUUUGACUAUGAAUAUUGCUUACAUAAUAUCCAAAUUUGCAUUGUGAAGCAUGUUUUGCAGUUUUCAGAACACUUUUACAUUAUUAUGUUAUUUGAGCCUCAGAGGUCUUAUGUAGUAGGUAAGGCUGGUGUUACGAUUAUCCCCAUUUUGCUGAUGAGAAAUCAGGAUGCAAGGUCAUGAGACUUAACCUGUGGCUAUUAGUUACUAAGUGGUGGGGUUUGGUACAGGUUUUCUGACAGCACAUUCUUUGCUCUUUUUACUGUGUUAUAGGACAUGGAUUUUUUUUUGUAAAUGAGUAUUUGUUCUGUUGUAUGUCAAAAUCAGGUCCAUGUGGUGUCUCUGAGUCAUUAAUUUCUGCUUUCUGCAAGCUGAAUGGCCACGGGGGGGACGGGAGAAAAGGUUUGGACUUCCUCCCAAGUGAUCAUUUCCUCAGCUGGCACUUUCUUAUCAAUGCAGUGUUGAAGAUGGUAACUUGGGGGUCUCAGAUCAGCUCACAAAAAAUAAUUGAACUUAUAAAAUUCCUGAACUGACAUUAUUAGAACUAACUUGUUGCUCAUAAAAUAAUAUGGUUUGAUGUUUAAAAAUAAGUUUCCAGCAAACAGGAAGUGAAUUUGUUAAUGUACUAGGAUUAAGUACUUUCACUAACUACAUUAGCUAUAUAUGAUAAUCAGUUCAGAUGAGCAUUGAUAAAUUAGACUGUGCACUUAGGAGAACCAAAAUAAAAUCAGUUCAUUAACUACUGAGUCCUUAUGUUGGAGCCACAACAUACAUAGGUUAAAUUUUAGAGUUAACAGGGCCAAAUGUAGACAAUAGAUAGAGCCUCUAGAAAGAAAAAGGACAUAUUACUGAUGAUUACUAAAAGAGUGAGGUCAUGUUAGAAGAAGGAAUUAUGGGCACUUGGUGGCUCAGUUGGUUGAGGGUCCAACUCUUGAUUUCAGCUCAGGUCAUGAUCCCAGGGUCAUGGGAUUGAGCCCCCAUCAGGCUCCAUGCUGAGUGUAGAGCUUGCUUAGCUUGCUCGCGCGCUCUCUCUCUCUCUCUCCCUCCCUCCCUCCCUCCCUCCCUCCUCUUUCGCUGCUUAUACUCUCUAAAAUUAAAAAAAAAAGGAAUUAGUAUAGUACAAACAUGCCUGACAUAAUUCAGGAGUAUGCAGACAAUAGCUGGGGGUAGGAAAAUACAUGCUGGGGAUAGUUGUAGAUGAGUUUGAUGAGCUUAAUUAUGGUGGACCAUGAAUUCCAGGACAAGAGAUUUGUUGCUCUUCAAGUUAAAGAUUGCAGUGCUCUUCUAGCCUAGGACUCGUGUUUUCCAGGUAAGGAAACCAAAGUGAAUCAUUCAAAUUAGUUAGUGGAGAAAUUGGGCCUGGAACCAAGGCUUCUUAAUUAUUAAGCUAAUGUUGCUUCUAUUAUGUGAUCUUAUAUGCUGUUGCCAUUGUUGGUUCUGGGACAGAGAGUAGCAAAGUGAAAGCAUUGCUUUUUAAGAGUAAAACUUUCACAGUCUUAGAAAAAGGAUUAGAAGGAGAAGUUAUUUGAAAUAGGAAGACCGGUGAAGCUUAUUUUGAUAAUCCUGGCGUGAGGUGAUACAGAAUGAAAAAGAUGGAGGAGUCAGUAACAACUAGAGUUUCAGGCUGAGUGAUGAGGAAAAAGGAAACGUAUUAAAAUAAGUUAGUAAAUUUGGAGAGUAAACUUGUUUUGUGAGGAAGAUCAAGCUCAUUUUUGAAUCCAUUAGGAAAGCAAUGAGAGUUGUUUUAUUAGGCAGACAAGAAUAUGGGACUCGUGUUGCAAAUGUUAAAUUAUACUUUGCAGAUAAUGAGGAUUGACUAGUAGCAUAGCAUGUAUUAUAGAACUAAUCUCUUCACACGGUACAACUGAAGGCAAUUUAAUUCCAGAAAGUCUCCCUAAGACUGUUGCUUUAAGAGAAACUUAUCUAUUAGAUGUGUCACUGAUGAAACGUCUGGUUAAUUAACUGGUUAACUGGUGUGGGCAAGCUCACCUCAAGAAGACCUUUACUGGCCCAACUGUAUGAUGCUUCUUCUCCAAUAAAAGUAUUAGUUGGGUGUGCAACCCCAUGUAAAACCUAUGUGCUACAGAGAAGGGUCUUACCUUUCAGCCAUUCAUUGCUGGAGCGGCUUUAUGAUAUUUUAUGAUGUGAUCACAUUUUUGGUCAUGAUUGUAAUUCAGUUUAAUAACGUUAACUGGUUUCAUUUGGGCAAUGUAUUUCCCUAGUCACUCUUCAUUUAUUAUUUUUAAACUUCUUUGUUUGAGUGAAACCAAAGGUAACAGCUGUUGAUGUUUCUGCGAAGUGGUGGUGAACCUGAGCUGUUAUCUAUGUGGUCCAUGAAAAUUUUAAAGAUGGGGCCCGUGUCUUUGUUUACCUUCUCUUUGUGUGUUUCUAAGGAUUUCUAAGACUUUAAAGCAUACUUAUUAACUUUAUUCAUUACUAACCAGUUUACUUACAUUUCGGGGGCCUUGAUGUUCCCAUAACCUGUUUGUCCAACAUUUAUCAUUCUACCUUACCUGCCUAGAUUUGAAUCUAAGCUUCACUGCUGAAUGAGUUUGCAAGUUAUGACAGAUUUCCAUGUUUCCAUUUUUUGUCAUUUAUUGGACAGUAUUACUACCUACCUUGUGGGCUUGUUGUGAGAAUUAAGUUAUGAAAUAUGUCAAGCACCUGAAGAGCCUGGCACAGCGCAAACACUCAGAUCUUAGCUGUUGUUAUUGUUACUGUCCUAUUGCACUCUCCUGUUCAUCGUCCGUCCUUGUAUUCCUUGGAACUAGAACAGUGUUUGCAUUUAGUAAGAAUUUUUGAAGGGUUAAUUGACCAAGGAAGGGGCGGAGGAAGGUGUCACAGGGUAUCUCGUAGGGUGAAACAGUGAGAGGCCAGCAAUUUUUGUCAUAAGUGCUGUUUCCAUUCUUGCUCAGCUCCACUCUAGGUGAAAACUUCCCCUUAGUCAUUAAGAAUUAAUGUUAUUGAUCCCAGUGUGGUUUUGUCAGGAAAGCAGUUAGGUUAAUCUUAGUUGGAAGUGGUUAAUAGUUUCCCAGUAGUUUUUACACUUUAAAAAGUAUGUCCUAACUGGGGUGCCUGGCUGGCUCAGUUGGUACAGCAUGCGAGUCUUGAUCUUGGGUCGUGAAUUUGAGCCCUACAUUAUACAUAGAGCUGACUUAAAAGAAAAAAAGUAUUUGUUACCCAUUCUUGUUGCUUGCCCUUGAAGCCUGCCCGGGCGAAGAACAGUUUUUUUCAGAUAUACCUUUCUGGGUAGGAUCCCCUCUGUAGGCAGUCCAGUUUUGCCUGGGAAUCUAAGCCUGAGGACAGCUUGUUGAUUGUUUUUAGUUUCUUUGCUGCUGCUGCUUUUGAACAUCCAGGCCUCUAAAGCACCAUUUUUUGUUUCCUUAAAUAGUAUUACCUUCUUCCUAUCAUUACCAGUCCACAUACAUGUGCUUAAGUUAACGGCUUUGAGCAACAUGAUGUAUUAAUUGUUUUUCUCAUCAUUUUGCUACAAGGGAGGCAUUAUUUCUAUUUUACACCCCUGGAAACUGAGGCUGAGCGUGGUUGAUAAGUACCUUUCCUAAAGCUUUGCAGUAAUUGUCAAAGCUGAGAUUUAAACUUGGGAAAAACGGUCUGAUGUUAACCUUUACUAUCUCUGCUGGUUCUAAUGAAGGUCUCAGCGUCAAAUCUAUAUGACACCAACAUUCCAGGGCAGCUUUGUGAAUUAGUGUGUGUAUUUGUAUGUGCUUUGUAGCUUUUGAGUUCUAUACAGAUUUAGUCAUUAAUAGUGAUCUAGUCCUUUAUGCAUCUCUCCUUUUUUAAAAAAAAUUUUCUAGUCUUGUUCACAAGAUUUCUAGACUGCUCAGAUUGUUUUUUCUUUAAGCAUGAUUUCCAUCCUCUGUUGCCAUCUUAGAGUGGCUUCUGUUGAUUAGUAUUCACUGUAUGGAAGGGUCCCCAUGUGUCAGAAAACGUAAGAAGAAAGAGACUUUCAGAGUCUUUUUUGAAAAGUUUUGUUUACUAGUAGUCUUCUUUUCAGUAGAGUCAGUGAUUAAGAAUGUGGGCCAUGGUCAGACAGACCUGGUUCAAAUCCUCCCUCUGCUCUAUGACCUUGGAACUUUGAACAUAUUUCAUUACCUCUUUAAGCCUUAGCAUCUUUACCUGUAAAAUGGGAGUAAUACUAAUAAUCCCAGGCUAUCGUAAAGAACACACGAGCAAAGGUAUAUGCUGUGUUUAGUGUAGUGUUUAGUGUUUAGUGUAGUGCUGUCAGUAAGUCUUAGCUGGUAUUAUAGAUUGAGGGCUAGGCUUAGAAGAGUAACCCAGGAAUAUUGUCUGUGUUGAAUUCAAGUGAUCUGCAAUAGAUGUGCCCUCUAGGGGAUAAGGGGUAAGGGUAAGAGUACAAUGGGAGUCUCUUAAGGUUCUAGUCCCAGGUUUGAUAGGCUCAGUCCCUUCAUGGAGUACUUAACAAAGGGGCAUGUAAUGAUUUGAUCCGGAAGCCCUUAGAGAAUGAAGGUGCAUAUACUUAUAUGUGAAUUCAGCAAACAUUUACUAAGCACCUGCUGCUGCCAGGCACUACUAUGCAGAUGCUGAUGAUAGAAAAGGAAAAUAGGUCUUUCUCUGUCUUUUUGAAGCUUAUAUUCCAACUGUGGGACCAGUAUGUAAAUAAAUAACUGAUAUAACAUGAUAAGUGUUUUAAGGUGUAUGCAAAAUGCCCUAGGGCAUCAAGUGAGUUGGAAGGAAGCCCAUUCUUGUUGAUACUUUAUCUUCAAGGGUAAGAAUUUUCUUAUAGGAGCAUUAGUCCAGUGAUUACUUUGAUAUUUUUUAGUGUAGAUUUAUCCUUCAAACACCAAAUAUAUUUCAAAUGUAAGUAAGAUUUGGCUGUGUAACUGAAAGCAGCCUACCUUUAAACUUUUCAAAUAAUAUUAUUUAUCCAAAAUCUAUACAACUUAAGUAAAUAGAAGUUAUAGGCAAAUUCUUGGCCUGCUGAUUUCAUAAAGAACACCCAUAGCUUCAGUGUAUAAAGGGGUUUCUUAGUUCAUCAGUGUAUGUGUUUUCCAAAUUAUUAUUUAUGCCCACGGGAAAUAUUGUUGGCAUUUGGGAAGAAGUGAGUGUAAUAUCAGGUAGCAUAACAAUACUGUUAACUGGUAGAAUAAUGAUUGGAUGUUGACAAUUGGAAUAUUAGCUACUGUGAAACACUAUCUAAUGGAACAAUGCUAGGAAACUGUGUGUGUGUGUGCACACACUUCUGUAGUUUAUAUAAAAUAUUAAAAUACAUUGAAUAUGUAUUUAUAAUUUAUAUCAUAGUAUAAUCAAAUCCCUGUAUCACAUCAUUAUGUGGAAGAAAUUAUUUUUCUCAUUUUGCAGAUGAAGGCACUAAAACUUGCCUGAAAUGAUGUGAAACUAAUAAGUGAUGGAACAAAAACUGAAUUUCAAAGCCUUUGUACUUUUCACCUGUUUGUGUUGAAUACAACUGUUUCUCACUUAACAGGAUUCAUCAUACAAUAAUUUAAAUUUUACACAUUUGUUAUCCAAACUUGAAGCAUUUGAGCCAAACUCUAUGCACCCCUCUACCUCAACCUGAGUCUUUCUAGUGCCAGACAAAGUGAACAAAAAACUUUGGAAGUAAAAAAAUCUAAAGUCUGGCAGUUUGCUUAUAUUUAUGUUUUUAAAGUUACUGCUUUUCCAUUUUCAACUGUUUCAGCUGUUUUCAGCGUACUAGCUGUACUUAAUAAAGAGACCAACCAUUACUUA